ACUCAUAACCGCAUCAGGU
rnacentral:snRNA from 1 species